GUCAUGAUUUAUUUUGGUGGGUUUUUAAGUACAUGAGCAUUCAAAUAGGGAUAGUUGGGGGCAUUUGAAUUUUAUUGUCAGAGGUGAAAUUCUUGGAUUUAUAAACGUCAAACAAAGGCGAAAGCAUUUGCCAUGGAUGUUUUCACUGAUCAAGAACGAAAGUUAGGGGAUCGAAGACGAUCAGAUACCGUCCUAGUCCUAACCAUAAACUAUGCCACCUAGGAGUUGAAUGUUGUUACAUUGCUGAUAUGUGCAGUACCUGUGAGAAAUCAAAGUUUUUGGGUUCUGGGGGGAGUAUGGUCGCAAGGCUGAAACUUAAAGGAAUUGACGGAAGGGCACCACCAGGAGUGGAGCCUGCGGCUUAAUUUGAUUCAACACGGGAAAACUUACCAGGACCAGACAUAACCAGGAUUGACAGAUUGAUAGCUCUUUCUUGAUUUUAUGGGUGGUGGUGCAUGGCCGUUCUUAGUUGGUGGAAUGAUUUGUCUGGUUAAUUCCGUUAACGAACGAGACCUUACUUUGCUAAAUAAUUACAUGUACCUGUUGUUAUGUGGGCAAUUCCUUAGAAAGACUUUGUGUGUACAAUGCAAGGAAGUUUGAGGCAAUAACAGGUCUGUGAUGCCCUUAGAUGCUCUGGGCUGCACGCGCGCUACACUGAUGUGAGCAACAAGUAUAUUUCCUUGCCUGAAAUGGUGUGGCAACCUGGAAACUGCAUCGUGAUGGGGCCUGUUCAUUGUCAUUAUUGAUCUUAAACGAGGAAUUCCUAGUAAGCACAAAUCAUCAGUUUGUGCUGAUUAUGUCCCUGCCCUUUGUACACACCGCCCGUCGCUCCUACCGAUUGAGUGUUCCGGUGAAUAAUUUUGAUUGCUGUUUCUUUAGCAAUGAUGUAACAUGUGAAACAUUUAAUGA
rnacentral:rRNA from 1 species